CACUGAGUUUCCACUGUCCGCCUCCAACCAAAUCCCUCUCUCUCUCUCUCAGCUAGGGUUUCCCUCCUCCUUCCCCGCGACGACUCUCUCCUCCCUCGUCGACGGCGCCCUCCUCCCUCCCUGAGACGACGCCCUCCUCCCUCUCCGACGACCUGCGCGCCUCCCUCUCCGACGACCUCCUCCCCGCGACGACGCCCACUUCCCUCGUUCUCUGCAGAUCUUGGAGAUUUCGUACCGUGAUUCUCUGCUUUUUGUCACUGGAAAGUAAAUAACAAUUCUCUUGCCGUCGUCGUUGAAUCCUCCUCUCUCCGACGAUGGAAGGAGAUGAUGAUGAAGACGUUACUAGUACAAUAUCAGAAGCUUAGAUUGGAUUGGGAGGCAUUGGAAAUUUAGGUUCUCUCACUUGUUGGAGUGGGCUAGUGACUGUGUUUAAUCAUUUUGUGAUAACAUUAGUUGUGGUUCAAUAGGAGUCCUUAUUCAAGCCUAACAUAUAGUUAAGGUGUGAACAAUAUUCUUGACAUGUACGCAUUGCGUGUACUGAAUAGUACAUACAAUAUAUAUUAAUAUCUGAAUUAAUUCAUGACUAGCUAAAUUAUUUUUAAACUUAAAACCCACAACUAUCUUAUCAAAAUAAAGAUUCAUACUUUCUGUUGAUUUAUUGCGUGCAUACAUCUUCAGUGACUAUUGUUUGAAACCUAAAAAUGAAACUUCUUUUAAAAAUUUUUGACGGGUUAUUUGCAUUAAUGUUUUUACACCUAUUUGUAUUAGCAUGUGUUAAUGAUAUAUUUUGUUUACUCAACACAAUUAUGCAAUAUGUGAGGCACACAUCACAUGCGGUGAAGUACUACCUAAUAAUACGAUUGUCAAAAAAAAUAAGAAGCUCAUUCAAUGUUGCGUGAAAAAAUCAAGAGGUUCUUGUCAAAUAUUUUCUUAACUUGUAGAUAGAGUUUUGCAUGAAGCUCGUCGAUUCGUGCCGCAACCAAGUAUGCAAAACUAAAUGCAUAUCUGGUGUCUAAAAGCUCAAUAAGCUGACAUCUUACGUGCAUUUGCCGGACAAAGGAUAUAUUGUAUCUUCUAAUAUAUUUUUAAGAAGUAUCUUCGUAACACUUUGAAACUCCAAAAUUUGAUACUCCAAAGUGUAAAUCCCAUUUCAUUUUGAUACCCCCAAGAUAUUUCUUUGACAUUUUGAUAACCCAAAGUUUCAAUUAAGUUGCACAUUGAUUCCCCCUGUCCAUUUUAUGUUAGAUUCCUACUAAAUUUAUACUAUGUCCUUAACAUGUUAUGCAUUAAAUCUCUUUUACCUAGUUGGUAAGCACGUGAUGCAUAUUUAAUACAAAAUCUAAUGAUAAGUAGAUAGGGAUAUCAAAAUGAAAUGAGAUUGAAUCUUUGGUAUAUCAAAAUGGUAAAAAUGUACUUUUAGGUAUCAAAGUGAAAUAUAUCAAAAUGAGAUUGAAUUUUGUUUAUUUUUCAGAACACACCAAUAUAUCGGAUUUUGGUUUAUAAGGAAAUUAAAAUUGGGGACGAACAAACUAUGCUAUUGCGUGUCAAUGAUCACCCCAUCGCUGUUGUGAUAAAAGUCGCACCUACAUUUAAGAAGCGCAAGACUAAAAAAGUUUACAGGUCUCCUGACAAUAGUAGUGGAGGGGGUUGCUCGCUAUUGUUGUUGGAUAUGGUGUAAAAGAUGAGAUUAAUUAUAUUGGAAAAUAAUGAACAGUUGGGGCACGCAAUGUGGAGACGAUGACUACGGUCUAACAUGCCGAGAUUCCAGUUUACCUCCCAACAGAAAAUAACUUCUAGCUAGAGUUUCCUAUCCGAUUCAUAGUUGCUGUUGGUGUAUAACGGCAUGCACUUGCUGUGAAGCAAAAGAAAAAACCACUCAUAUGAAUCGACAAUUGAUCCAACUUGCACCCCAAGACAUUAUCAACUGCUACGCAUAUCAUUAUUCGCCUCAGUGUAAAAUCGACACUGCUGGAUGCUACAUCGAUUCUAUCAUCAGAGCCUUUGAGUAUAUAAAGCAAAGAGUGAUGAUGUACGAAAGGAAUUGCCCCUUUGAUAAGAGAAAAGAAGACUCCAUGGAUGAGGAGAUGAGGACGAUAGUGGAGGUAUGUAUUUACAGUAUUGAGCAGGGCGAGGAGUGGUGUUGUUGUCAAGCUCUUUUCGACGAGUUCUACAACGAUGGUCCCAAUGAGAUGAUCGACCAAGAGUGGGAAACCUAUAGGGACGCUAUGAAGCGCAACGAUGGUUGAGACUCCCCUGAGAAUGUCACCAGAAGAUAGAGGAAGCCUUGAAUGAUAGAUGAAAGUGCGAGAAUCAAACAAAUAAUUGUUUAAUGCACGCUUCCAUAGAUAGUAGAUACAUAUGAAAAGAUUUGAGCAUUUUGAUGAUAAAUUUGGGUAAUUGCUAGACUUAAUGUUGUGAGAUUGAUAUUGAGAAAUCAAAUCUGAUGAUGUUGACGACUCUCGGUUAAUCACAAAAGCCAAUUUAUAAUACCCCGAUAUAGAAAACUUUGUUUGGUUGAUGGCAGAACUUAUAUAUAUUUGCGAAUCUGUGAUUUAGUAGUUUGGUUGAUGGCACAACUUAUAUAUAUUUGUGAAUCUGUGAUUUAUACUAUGGCUGCGUUUGGGAAUCAGAAUUUUGGAUCCAGGAUUUAAAAUCCAGGGUAUUUUAAGUCCAAAUCUUUAGUUUGAAUUCUAAGUUGGCCUGAGGGGAUCUAGGAUUAAAAAUUCAGAAUAUUUCAAAUCCAAAUCUUUAAUUCAAAUUCUAAGUUGGGCUGAGAUUUUAAAUCAAAUUAUUUUAUUGAGAUGAUUUUGAAAGCCCAAGUACACAUAUUUCAAAUUUCAUUCUGCCCUUAGUAUUUACCAAAUCCCGACCGGACUCCUCUCUCUCAUUUCUUAGUCCUGAUCAAUCCCGCUCCCGACUCUCAAGUUCACUCUCAAUGCAGGUAACCUCUAUCUCUCCUCUCUCUCUCCUCCCACCCCCUCUCCAUCCCCCUAUUGUCAAAACCCUAGAUCAGAUCUAGGGUUUAGGUCUCCCCCUUUCUUCUCUCUCCCCUUUCCGCCGAAACCUAGAUCUGAUCUAGGUGUUUGAGAUUCUUGACGGGACGGCGGCGGCGACGACAGAGAGGGAGGAGGUGAAGGAGGAGGUGAAGGUGGCCGAGGAGGAGGAGAAGGUUGUGUUUGAUUGCGGGAGGACGACGGCAGAGGACGAGGAGGAUGCAGCAAAGGAGGGGAGGACCACGGCGCUGCCGCCAGAGGCGGUCAGACCGAUAUCGGGCAGGAUAUUCAUGCUCACAUCG